rnacentral:tRNA from 1 species
UGCGAAUUAGCUCAGUUGGUAGAGCGCAUCCUUCGUAGGGAUGAGGUCGUUGGUUCAAGUCCAACCCUUGCAA